rnacentral:siRNA from 1 species
GUCGAAACUAACCGCGCCUAUGCA